GAUGAACGCUAGCGACAGGCUUAACACAUGCAAGUCGAGGGGCAGCGGAGGCGGAGCUUGCUCCGCCUGCCGGCGACCGGCGCACGGGUGAGUCACACGUAUGGAACCUGCCCUGCACAGGGGGAUAAGCGAAAGAAAUUUCGUCUAAUACCGCAUAACACCUCCGGGAGACAUCUCCCGGAGGUCAAAGGGAGCGAUCCCGGUGCAGGAUGGCCAUGCGGCGCAUUAGCUUGUUGGCGGGGUAACGGCCCACCAAGGCGACGAUGCGUAGGGGUUCUGAGAGGAAGGUCCCCCACACUGGGACUGAGACACCGACCAGACUCCUACGGGAGGCAGCAGUGAGGAAUAUUGGUCAAUGGGCGGAAGCCUGAACCAGCCAAGUCGCGUGAGGGAAGACGGUCCUAUGGAUUGUAAACCUCUUUUGCAGGGGAGCAAAGCCGGCCUCGUGAGGCCGGAAGGAGAGUACCCUGAGAAAAAGCAUCGGCUAACUCCGUGCCAGCAGCCGCCGUAA
rnacentral:rRNA from 1 species